rnacentral:rRNA from 1 species
UACAGAGGGGGCAAGCGUUGUUCGGAAUUACUGGGCGUAAAGGGCGCGUAGGCGGCCUGCUAAGUCGAACGUGAAAUCCCCGGGCUCGACCCGGGAACUGCGUCCGAGACUGACAGGCUUGAAUCCGGGAGAGGGAUGUGGAAUUCCAGGUGUAGCGGUGAAAUGCGUAGAUAUCGGGAGGAACACCAGUGGCGAAGGCGACUUCCUGGCCUGUUCUUGACGCUGAGGCGCGAAAGCUAGGGUAGCAAACGGG